AUUGAACGCUGGCGGCAGGCCUAACACAUGCAAGUCGAGCGAGCGGCGGACGGGUGAGUAAUGUCUGGGAAACUGCCUGAUGGAGGGGGAUAACUACUGGAAACGGUAGCUAAUACCGCAUACCAUCAGAUGUGCCCAGAUGGGAUUAGCUAGUAGGUGGGGUAACGGCUCACCUAGGAGACGAUCCCUAGCUGGUCUGCGAGGAUGACCAGCCACACUGGAACUGCGGCACGGUCCAGAAUCCGACGGGAGGCAGGAGGGGGGAACACUGUGCAAUGGGCGCAAGCCGGAUGCAGCCAAGUAGCGUGCAGGAGGACGGCCUAUGGGUUGUAAACUGCUUUUAAUGGGGAUAAGGUACCAAAUGAAUAAGGACCGGCUAAUUCCGUGCCAGCAGCCGCGGUAAUAC
rnacentral:rRNA from 1 species